rnacentral:rRNA from 1 species
UACGGAGGGUGCGAGCGUUGUCCGGAAUCACUGGGCGUAAAGGGCGCGUAGGCGGCAUGCCAAGCGUGUGGUGAAAGCCCGGGGCUCAACCCCGGGUCGGCCGUGCGGACUGGCGUGCUCGAGCACUGUAGGGGCGGGUGGAAUUCCGGGUGUAGCGGUGGAAUGCGCAGAUAUCAGGAGGAACACCGGUGGCGAAGGCGGGUCUCUGGGCAGUAACUGACGCUGAGGAGCGAAAGCGUGGGGAGCGAACAGG